GUGCUCACUUCAGCAGCACACGUACUAAAACUGGAACGAUACAGAGAAGAUUAGCAUGGCCCUUGCGCGAGGAUGACAUGCAAAUUCGUGAAGCGUUCCAUAUUUUU